GAGAAACCCUUAUGAAGCAGAACUUGCUUCUGUGGGACUUUGGUGCUCACUGAGUCUGCUCCUUGAGUGUGUCACU
rfam:Myotis lucifugus cont2.10298, whole genome shotgun sequence.